AGCCUUUGGUUGCGAACGGCAGAAAAUUCGCUUGCUGAAGCGUUGUACCCGGAGUACUGUACAGGAACUGAAGCAUGUCCCAUGGUACACUGCGCUUUCCAUAACGCAAACAACACAGAUAUUAUUGUGUUCUUCACCGCUGAGAAGAUUUACUGAUAGUCACGCAUAGUGAUUUCAAAACAUCUCGUGGAUGGUAAACAGACAGCGACCACAGUUAAAAGCUCCACAGUCUUCACACUGACUAACAGUCCGGGAGAUGCUGCGACAACAACUGUGUUGCUGACAGGCGGGUUACUAACAUCUGUUGUCAUCUUCUCUUCUGUGAUACCAUUCUUCCUUUGAUUUGCCACUUCGUGGAUGAGAGGAAUACUCAAACCUUAACAUGGACUGGGAGUCACGAAUGGUUUUGAUCUUGAUGCUAAUGCUUGCUCAAGUGUUGAGAUCGGAGGUUUUAGUGCAAGUAUCACACAGGAUCAGCCCUCGAACAAGAAUUUCUUCGACUGUGGAGUCUGAAGAAUGUGCACAAUUAUAGAAAA